ACUUUAUCCGCUCCUUUAUAACAUCGCAUUAACACUCCUUACUCACUGAGCUCACCGCUCCCCUUUUUAUUUUUAGGGUUUCUCAUCAUUCACCUACCGAUCGGCUCCAUAAGAGCAUCUUUCUCUUCGUUUUGAGUACGGAAAGUUCAUUUUUUUGGGUUAUUGUGCGCGGAUAUGCUCGUUUUGUGGGCGCAAGUUCAACAUCGUGUUCAGGUGUGUUUUUCGAGUUUGCGGAAUUUUUGUCUGUAAGCUGAGAGAACGUGAGGAAACGAAAGAAAAUUGAAGCUUAUAGUCUUCAAAAGGUAUUGUUGUGAACAUCUCUUGUUCUGACAAUCGAUAACCAUAGUGUUUUCUUUUGUAAAACUCAAUGGUGCCAGUAGGCUAGUGGAGCUAUGGACUGUUUUCAGAUUGUUGGUCAUCUCAAAGGAUCCCUGUGUCAGGUGUUCUUAUUAUUCAUCACCUGGCUGUUUAGUUUCCAAGAUGUAGUGGCAUUUCAAACAGUGCUUAAGCCUAGUCAUGUUUCUUCCAUUUCUCAGCUGGCAAAUCCUCCUAGCAGUGGACUGUUUGAACCUAUAGAGAUUUCACCAGCUGUAUUUCCACAUUUUCCAUAUACUGGUGAAACUUUGCCACCACCAAUGUACCCAUACCCAACUUUUCCUACUACAUAUGAACCGAAUUUAACUGGGCGAUGCCCUGUAAAUUUCUCUGCCAUGUCAGUUAUCAUGGACAAAACAGCAACUGAUUGUUCGCUAGCUGCACUUGUAGGAAAUGUAAUAUGUUGUCCGCAGCUCGGCAGUUUACUUCACAUAUUCCAGGGUUUCUACAGCAUGAAAUCUGGGAGUUUGGUCUUGCAAAAUGCAGUUGCUAAUGAUUGUUUUUCAGAUAUCAUCAGUAUAUUAGCUAGCAAGGGGGCCAACAGCACAAUUCGAACACUCUGCUCUGUAACAUCAUCAAAUCUCACAGGUGGUUCAUGUCCGGUUAAGGAUGUUAAUAGUUUUGAGGAAACAGUAAACACAAGCAAACUACUGGAGGCCUGCAGCACUGUUGAUCCUCUUAAAGAGUGUUGUAGACCAGUUUGUCAACCUGCCAUUAUGGAGGCUGCUCUGCAGAUUUCAGGAUCAUCAUUAACAAUUAACGACAAUAAAAAUCUAGUUGGAGGGUCAAAUCAUGUUCAUGCGCUAAAUGACUGUAAAGGGGUUGUAUACUCGUAUCUCUCUAGUAAAUUAUCAGCAGAUGCAGCCAAUACUGCAUUCCGGAUAUUAUCUGCCUGCAAAGUUAACAAGGUUUGCCCAUUGGAGUUUAAGCAGCCUUCAGAAGUAAUUGAAGCAUGCCGUAAUGUAGCAGCUCCAAGUCCGACAUGCUGUAGCUCAUUGAAUACCUAUAUUGCAGGAAUACAGCAACAGAUGCUAAUUACAAAUAAACAAGCCAUAAUCUGUGCUGCAUUUUUUGGGUCUAUGUUACGGAAAGGAGGAGUUAUGACAAAUGUCUAUGAGCUCUGCGACGUUGAUCUGAAAGACUUUAGCAUUCAAGCAGCAUAUGGACAAGGUUUGCUUCAAAUUUCUCCUGUCCUCCUCUCCCUUGAUGUCUACUUCGAAGCUUGCCUGCAGAUGUGGUCUUUGACAAUUCGACGGGCUACAGCUUCCAAUGUGACCUAACUGACAACAUUGCAGCUCCAUGGCCUUUAUCAUCCUCAAUGUCAACCUUGUCUCUCUGUGCUCCUGAGAUGUCAUUGCCUGCCUUGCCAACAUCAGAGACUUUGACCAAUCAUGGUUGUGGCGGUUGUUUGUUGGAUGUCCUUGUUCCCAUUUUUUCAUUUUUUGUUUUCAGUGCAUUGUUGUACUGAAAGUUAUUGAGGGUCGAGUCAAGCUGGAUUGGAAUAGGGGCUUUUUGGUAAUUGAAUUGUGGUGGAUUUCACAUGUAUAUUUUUGAGUAAGCCUUUUUGUAUAGCAGAUUUUUUUUCCCCCA